CUGCCAGUAGUUCAGUUGGUAGAAUGCAUGUUUUGGGGACAUGAGGUCGUUGGUUCAAAUCCAACUUGGCAGA
rnacentral:tRNA from 1 species